GAUGAACGCUGGCGGCGUGCCUAAUACAUGCAAGUCGAGCGAACGGACGAGAAGCUUGCUUCUCUGAUGUUAGCGGCGGACGGGUGAGUAACACGUGGAUAACCUACCUAUAAGACUGGGAUAACUUCGGGAAACCGGAGCUAAUACCGGAUAAUAUUUUGAACCGCAUGGUUCAAAAGUGAAAGACGGUCUUGCUGUCACUUAUAGAUGGAUCCGCGCUGCAUUAGCUAGUUGGUAAGGUAACGGCUUACCAAGGCAACGAUGCAUAGCCGACCUGAGAGGGUGAUCGGCCACACUGGAACUGAGACACGGUCCAGACUCCUACGGGAGGCAGCAGUAGGGAAUCUUACGCAAUGGGCGAAAGCCUGACGGAGCAACGCCGCGUGAGUGAUGAAGGUCUUCGGAUCGUAAAACUCUGUUAUUAGGGAAGAACAUAUGUGUAAGUAACUGUGCACAUCUUGACGGUACCUAAUCAGAAAGCCACGGCUAACUGCGUG
rnacentral:rRNA from 1 species